rnacentral:lncRNA from 1 species
AGGAGAGGAAAAUUACUGGGUAGAGCAAGAGGAGAAACUUUCCAAAGUAGAAGAUCAGCCAUACAACUAAACCGCUGGAGACCUAUAGAAAGUGAGCCAAAGAUCUUGAAGAAGAAUUGGAGAGAACCAUUCGUUUUUAUCAGGGGCAUAUUAUGUACUAUGAGAAAAAAGCACAUGGUAAUGAGUUGGCAGCUCAGAGUGCUGAAAAAUACCUCAAUGAUUUACGGAAACAAAAUGCUCACCCCAGACAAAAAUUAAC